CGAGCGCGUUGGGUGGCCGCUCCGGCCGCGAGGUCGGGGAGGAAAGUCCGGACUCCAUAGGGCAGAGUGCUGGGUAACGCCCAGGAGGGGUGACCCUACGGAAAGUGCCACAGAGAGCAAACCGCCCAAUCAGGGAUUGCCCCUGAUUGGGUAAGGGUGAAAGGGCGGUGUAAGAGACCACCGCUUCGAUGGUGACAUCGAAGGCACGGCAAACCCCACUCGGAGCAAGACCAAAUAGGAGGACAAUGAGGCGGCCCGCCUCCUUCGACGUAUUUGCUCGUCAAACGCGUCGGAGCCUAACAACAGGGUCCUCGGGUUGGUCGCUUGAGGUGCCGAGCAAUCGGCAUCCCAGAUAGAUGGUCACCGCCCCGAUGAGGGGCACAGAAUCCGGCUUACAGGCGCGCUCGGGUC
rnacentral:RNase_P_RNA from 1 species